UCUGCAACUCGACUACAUGAAGCUGGAAUCGCUGUAAUCGCAGAUCAGAAUGCUGCGGUGAAUACGUUCCCGGGUCUUGUACACACCGCCCGUCACACCAUGGGAGUCGGAAAUGCCCGAAGCCGGUGACCCAACCAAAAGGAGGGAGCCGUCGAAGGCAGGUCUGAUAACUGGGGUGAAGUCGUAACAAGGUAAC
rnacentral:rRNA from 1 species